AACUCCGGUUUCCGAUUCCGGCCCACAAGGAUACGCAGCCUGCUCCUGCACAUCGACUCUCCGGUCAACGCUCCAGAGGAGAUUACUUCGAGCACGAGCAACAGCCGCCCAUGAGCGACAGUGUUAUCCCUUCUACAUCCUCUCGCCGCUGUGGUCCUGCUGACAGACUGGACUUUCUUGCUCAUCCGGCACUGCUAUUGGUUCUGAACUCCGGUUUCCGAUUCGGCCCACAAGGAUACGCAGCCUGCUCCUGCACAUCGACUCUCCGGUCAACGCUCCAGAGGAGAUUACUUCGAGCACGGGCAACACCCGUUCAAUGAGCGACAGUGUUAUCCCUUCUACAUCCUCUCGCCGCUGUGGUCCUGCUGACAGACUGGACUUUCUUGCUCGUCCGGCACUGCUAUUGGUUCAGAACUCCGGUUUCCGAUUCCGGCCCACAAGGAUACGCAGCCUGCUCCUGCACAUCGACUCUCCGGUCAACGCUCCAGAGGAGAUUACUUCGAGCACGAGCAACACCCGCCCAUGAGCGACAGUGUUAUCCCUUCUACAUCCUCUCGCCGCUGUGGUCCUGCUGACAGACUGGACUUUAUUGCUCAUCCGGCACUGCUAUUGGUUCAGAACUCCGGUUUCCGAUUCCGGCCCACAAGGAUACGCAGCCUGCUCCUGCACAUCGACUCUCCGGUCAACGCUCCAGAGGAGAUUACUUCGAGCACGAGCAACACCCGCCCAUGAGCGACAGUGUUAUCCCUUCUACAUCCUCUCGCCGCUGUGGUCCUGCUGACAGACUGGACUUUCCUGCUCACCCGGCACUGCUAUUGGUUCAGAACUCCGGUUUCCGAUUCCGGCCCACAAGGAUACGCAGCCUGCUCCUGCACAUCGACUCUCCGGUCAACGCUCCAGAGGAGAUUACUUCGAGCACGAGCAACACCCGCCCAUGAGCGACAGUGUUAUCCCUUCUACAUCCUCUCGCCGCUGUGGUCCUGCUGACAGACUGUAUUUCUGCUCACCCGGUACUGCUAUUGGUUCAGAACUCCGGUUUCCGAUUCCGACCCACAAGGAUACGCAGCCUGCUCCUGCACAUCGACUCUCCGGUCAACGCUCCAGAGGAGAUUACUUCGAGCACGAGCAACACCCGCCCAUGAGCGACAGUGUUAUCCCUUCUACAUCCUCUCGCCGCUGUGGUCCUGCUGACAGACUGGACUUUCCUGCUUACCCGGCACUGCUAUUGGUUCAGAACUCCGGUUUCCGAUUCCGACCCACAAGGAUACGCAGCCUGCUCCUGCACAUCGACUCUCCGGUCAACGCUCCAGAGGAGAUUACUUCGAGCACGAGCAACACCCGCCCAUGAGCGACAGUGUUAUCCCUUCUACAUCCUCUCGCCGCUGUGGUCCUGCUGACAGACUGGACUUUCCUGCUUACCCGGCACUGCUAUUGGUUCAGAACUCCAGUCUCCGAUUCCGGCCCACAAGGAUACGCAGCCUGCUCCUGCACAUCGACUCUCCGGUCAACGCUCCAGAGGAGAUUACUUCGAGCACGAGCAACACCCGCCCAUGAGCGACAGUGUUAUCCCUUCUACAUCCUCUCGCCGCUGUGGUCCUGCUGACAGACUGGACUUUCUUGCUCAUCCGGCACUGCUAUUGGUUCAAAACUCCGGUUUCCGAUUCCGGCCCACAAGGAUAGGCAGCCUGCUCCUGCACAUCGACUCUCCGGUCAACGCUCCAGAGGAGAUUACUUCGAGCACGAGCAACACCCGCCCAUGAGCGACAGUGUUAUCCCUUCUACAUCCUCUCGCCGCUGUGGUCCUGCUGACAGACUGGACUUUCUUGCUCAUCCGGCACUGCUAUUGGUUCAGAACUCCGGUUUCUGAUUCCGGCCCACAAGGAUACGCAGCCUGCUCCUGCACAUCGACUCUCCGGUCAACGCUCCAGAGGAGAUUACUUCGAGCACGAGCAACACCCGCCCAUGAGCGACAGUGUUAUCCCUUCUACAUCCUCUCGCCGCUGUGGUCCUGCUGACAGACUGGACUUUCUUGCUCAUCCGGCACUGCUAUUGGUUCAGAACUCCGGUUUCCGAUUCCGGCCCACAAGGAUACGCAGCCUGCUCCUGCACAUCGACUCUCCGGUCAACGCUCCAGAGGAGAUUACUUCGAGCACGAGCAACGCCCGCCCAUGAGCGACAGUGUUAUCCCUUCUACAUCCUCUCGCCGCUGUGGUCCUGCUGACAGACUGGACUUUCCUGCUCACCCGGCACUGCUAUUGGUUCAGAACUCCGGUUUCCGAUUCCGGCCCACAAGGAUACGCAGCCUGCUCCUGCACAUCGACUCUCCGGUCAACGCUCCAGAGGAGAUUACUUCGAGCACGAGCAACACCCGCCCAUGAGCGACAGUGUUAUCCCUUCUACAUCCUCUCGCCGCUGUGGUCCUGCUGACAGACUGGACUUUCCUGCUCACCCGGCACUGCUAUUGGUUCAGAACUCCGGUUUCCGAUUCCGACCCACAAGGAUACGCAGCCUGCUCCUGCACAUCGACUCUCCGGUCAACGCUCCAGAGGAGAUUACUUCGAGCACGAGCAACACCCGCCCAUGAGCGACAGUGUUAUCCCUUCUACAUCCUCUCGCCGCUGUGGUCCUGCUGACAGACUGGACUUUCUUGCUCAUCCGGCACUGCUAUUGGUUCAGAACUCCGGUUUCUGAUUCCGGCCCACAAGGAUACGCAGCCUGCUCCUGCACAUCGACUCUCCGGUCAACGCUCCAGAGGAGAUUACUUCGAGCACGAGCAACACCCGCCCAUGAGCGACAGUGUUAUCCCUUCUACAUCCUCUCGCCGCUGUGGUCCUGCUGACAGACUGGACUUUCCUGCUCACCCGGCACCGCUAUUGGUUCAGAACUCCGGUUUUCGAUUCCGGCCCACAAGGAUACGCAGCCUGCUCCUGCACAUCGACUCUCCGGUCAACGCUCCAGAGGAGAUUACUUCGAGCACGAGCAACGCCCGCCCAUGAGCGACAGUGUUAUCUCUUCUACAUCCUCUCGCCGCUGUGGUCCUGCUGACAGACUGGACUUUCCUGCUCACCCGGCACCGCUAUUGGUUCAGAACUCCGGUUUCCGAUUCCGGCCCACAAGGAUACGCAGCCUGCUCCUGCACAUCGACUCUCCGGUCAACGCUCCAGAGGAGAUUACUUCGAGCACGAGCAACACCCGCCCAUGAGCGACAGUGUUAUCUCUUCUACAUCCUCUCGCCGCUGUGGUCCUGCUGACAGACUGGACUUUCCUGCUCACCCGGCACCGCUAUUGGUUCAGAACUCCGGUUUCCGAUUCCGGCCCACAAGGAUACGCAGCCUGCUCCUGCACAUCGACUCUCCGGUCAACGCUCCAGAGGAGAUUACUUCGAGCACGAGCAACGCCCGCCCAUGAGCGACAGAGUUAUCCCUUCUACAUCCUCUCGCCGCUGUGGUCCUGCUGACAGACUGGACUUUCCUGCUUACCCGGCACUGCUAUUGGUUCAGAACUCCUGCUUCCGAUUGCGGCACACAGAUACCUAGCCCGCUCCUGCACAUUGACUCUCCGGUCAACGCUGCCGAAGAGAUUACUACGAGCACCAGUCGUCCUGUGACCGACCAUGUUUGCAUUUCGCCAUUCUCUCGCCGAUGGCCUCCUGCUGGCAUAUUGGACUUAGCCUGGCGCCCUUGCACGACUG